CCCGCCGCGGCCCCGGAGUCACAGGCGCGCCUCCGCGCCGCUGCCUCCAGCGACUCUCCCAGGAGAGACCCGCGCGCUCCCGGGCUCGAGGAAGUCGCGGCCGGCGUGGAAGGCGGGUUUCCUGAGAGGUGUAUGUCCCAGAAUACACUCUGCCCUCCUGGGAGGAAAAGGCGACGCCUACGGCAGAGGGCCGUCCCGCAUCAGAGGUUCCAGGAGCGUCAAAGCCGGACUUCAGAUCUGAGCGGCGGCGGAGCCACGCUUGUGUGGUGUCCGCGCCCAUCUGGAGGCGGGUGGCGGGACCUCCUCGCCAGCGGUCCCCGCCCUGGGCCGAAGCCAGGCUUUGGCAGCAGCGGGUCACAAUCGGGGACAGGGGUGGCCGGAGGGGGCCCGAGCAUCAGGCUUCCUGGUCGCUAGAGGUAUUUUUAAUUCCGCAGAAGAGACUCAGGACUCCUAACUCCCAGCACUGGGUGCAGGCUCAGAAGGGGACUGUGUCAGACUUACUUUGCGGCGCGGCCCAGCCUUUUGCGCGCGCAAAGUCUCGGGACCGCCGGCGUGGUUAGAAACGCGGCCUGGGCCGGUUGGCGGAAGGGGGCGCAAUGCGCACGGCCGCUUGAGGAGCUCUGUAAGCAUGGAGGGCGGAGGGCUAGCUGAACACCGGCAGAUCCGAGCGCGGGAUGGGGCCUGAUGUCUACACCAUCAUUUUUGGAGAAGCUGUCAACUCUGACAAAUGAAGGAAAGCGGAAGGCAGCGAGCCGCACCUGCGAAAAGGCCUGGAAUUCCAGGGCCAACCCCGCCCAUCUGUUCUUUUCUAAGAGUACUUGGACCCUGCUUGAUUGUUUGAGAUCCAGCGAUUGGAUUUUCUGAAAGUAAAUCUCAGAAAUGGAAAUUCACGCUCAUUACCUUGCACAAACAUUUUUAAUUUCUGAGUGGCCUGCAUUGAGCCUAGAGGCAAGAAUCCUUCUUGCUGGAGCCAUAGUCGAGCCUGUAAAAGCCGAAAACCUUCCGCUGAGGUUAGAAAGGCAAUAAUUUAGACACACAGAGAAAAUUCCUAGCUGGAAGACAAGAGAAAACGCUCCAAGUGAAGUUAGAAAAUUUACCUUUGUAUAAAAAUCCUUUGAACAUUAUUGGACGGCAAAUUACCUGUAAAAGAUGUAUGAGAAAAUCAAGGAAAUGUGGAGACCGGAUGUUUGAUGCCAUCAAAGCAUCGGUGUCAAUUUUUAAGGUAUGAUAGUGAUAUUGUAGUUAUAUAUUUUAAAAAGAGUUCCUAUCUUUUAGAAAACCAUAUCGAACUACUUACAAAUUAAAAGGCGUACCUAAGGGAGAAAGUGAAAAUUCAGAUCUUAGAAGAAUUUUCAGUUCUCCAAGGGUACAUCUAUUGUUCCGACUUCUCACGUUUGACCCCAGUGCACAAUUUCGGGAGUGCGUUAUAGACAAAGCCGGGGACAAAGCCCCUGCCUCCUCCUUCACCCCACCCUCGUUAUCACGGAGAUCUUAUCUGGUCUAAGCUGUGCCUUGAGGUAUAAAGGGAAGCAGGGCCAUCUCCCUAAUUUUCAGGGCCCAGUGAAAAAUAAAAAUGUGAGGCCUCUUGUUCAAAAGGCAGGAAAAAAGUGACAUUGAAGGUAUUGAAAUAGACAAAUUUCUCCUUUCUCCUUUCUCCUGUGGUCUCUCUCUCAACCUGUCAUCGUGGGUUUUGCCAAUUAAGGUUACUUUCCCUCGGGCAAGAGGAUGACUUCAGGGCGAGACCAGACCCUCGCGGGUCUCCUAAGGCCCCACCCCGUGACUCAGUGCGCCUGCGUGCAGCCCACCUGCUCAGGGUUCUCCCUCCUGCGGCCGCCAGAAGGAUGCACCCUAUCGCAGUAAGAGGCAGCUGCGUCAAGCCAGACAUCGCUCCUUCCCACGGACUAUGGGCAACCCCCAAAGAAUUAUAGCCUCUGUGCCAGGACGCCCUGCUACCUGCAUUGCGGGGGGGACAGGGCACUUCCACCGAGCUGCCCAAAGAACGUGCUAUGUUGUCUGUAAAUAAUUGCAAUUUUAUUUCAUUUAUGUCAAUGCCAUUUUGAAGAGAAGUGGUUAGAACAGACAUCCUUUCUCCAUUCCUGGUCUCAAAGAGAAAGCUUUCCAUAUUUCACCACUAAAUAUAGUGUUUGCUGCAGGUUUUCCAUAGAUUCCCCUUUUCCCCUCCUUAAGCAGGUUCCUUCGUAUUUCGUUGUCUUCUGUUGUUCCUGUUGAAAAGUCAGAUGUCAGUCUAAUUGUUGUUCCUUUGAAUGUAACGUGUGGUUAAGAUUUUUUUUUUUUGUCUUUGGUUUCCAUCAGUUUUAUGAUUUACCUAGAAAUAAUUUUCUUUAUAUUUAUCCUGCUUGGAGUUGAUAGAGUUGAUAGAGUCUGUGGUUUGAUGUCUUCUGUCGGUUUUGGAAAAUUCUCAGUCUGUCUGUCUUCAGUUAUUGCUUCUCCCUGUCCUCUCCAUCAUCUCUUCUCCACUCCAAUUACACUUAUGUUGGAUCUUUACACUGUAUUUCACAUGUAUCUUAUCCACUUUUCUGUAUUUUUCAUCCUUGAGAAGAUUUAGUCUGGCAUUCAGACCAAAUUUGACUUUCCUUUUCUCUUAGGCAUAGUCCUUCUGGGGUCUCAUUUGAAAGCCUGGGAUAUUUACCUGAGCUCUUCCUCUCUGGCAGGCCCUGGAUUCUAAUUUUGGCAUCUUCACCACUGCAAGACUUAUGUUAGUUUUCCGGGAUUGCCAUAACAAAUUACCACAAACUUGGUGGCUAAAAACAACAGAAAUUUAUUUUCUCAGUUUUGGAGGCCAGCACUCAAGGUGUCAUCAGGGCCAUGCUCCCUCUGAAGGCUUUAGAGAAGAAUUCUUCCUUGCGUCUUCCAUCUUCCAGUGACCCAGGACAUUCCUUGGCUUGUGGCUGCAUCACUCCAGUCUCUGCCUCCAUGGUCACAUGACCUUCCCCUGUGUGUCUCUGUGUCCUCAUCUCUUCUUACAAGGACACCAGUCACUGGAUUUAGGACACACUCUUAAUCAGGAUAAUUUCAUCUCAAGAUACUUAAUUAAUUACAUGUCCAAAGAAGAUCACUUGCUGAGGUUCUGGGCAGACACAAAUUUGGGGGUUCCACUGUUCAACCCACAACAAGACUCUUGAAAGUUCUGCUUCAAUUUUUGACCUCUUUAUUGCAAUUUUAUGAUUUGUUUUUCAGCUCUGUGCAGCAAAGACCUCAAGCAAAACCCACACAGAAUGUCAAGCUCGUAUCUCUGCAGGUCAUCUUUUUUUUUUUUUUUCCCCUGGGAUUUUUACCCCUCAAGUACUAACUACCUUGGCAAUCCUAAACUCAUUUUUUCUUCUUCCCAGUUUAAUGAGACUGAUGCAAACUUCAGGUUGCUGCUUUUCAUUCAUCCUCUGUUGCCUGUGCUUCAAACUGGCAAAUGUUCCAAGGGAAAAAGUAGUGGCCAGUCUGGGGUCCAGCUCAACGCACUUCUCUCCACUCCAGGAUCUCUCCAGGAUUGCGUCCUGGGUGUCUCAGUUGUUCUCUGAUGCAUUCAGCAGCUGUCUUUCAUAUUUUAUCCAGCUUUUAUAGUUGCUCCUAGCACAGAGUUUGCUCUGACAUUUCUUCAAAACUAGAAAUAGAAGUCAAAUAUGGCAUUUCUUUUGUUCUAGUCUCAUGUCUCCACACUGCCAGGGGAACCUCUCGGGUGCAUUGCUUUCGGAGACCCACUGAUUGAGGGAUGUGCCUCUUUUCCCCCCUCCUUUUUACUGUGUUUAGAGAGAGACACACCUGUAAGAUCGCCUUUAUUCUCUGUGUCUGUGGCUGCUCAGGGCAGGGAUGCUUCUGCAAUGUAAAGAAAUAAAUAGUGAGAAAGGACUUGGGAAAUAGUGGGACAUAUCAGAGCUACGUGGGGCUCUUGUCACCUUCUUCCUGUAUAGGAUCCUUAAGAAAAUCUUGCUAUCAGGCAUACAAAAGGGAAAACUGCAUGAAUAAGCCACAUAGUAUGACCUUUCUGUGCUGAGGUCUGAGCUACCAGAGCAGCGGAGGAGUUAUGUCCAUCAGGGUGUGUUUCUCAAAGUGAGCUUUUCGAGAAGGUGGUAUGGACGGUACACAUUUUACCUGAUAUAAUCCUCAAAUCCUAUAGUAUAGGUAUUAUUACUACUCUAUUUUAUAGAUGAGGAAAGUGAGGCUCAGGGAAGUAGUUAUCCUGCAGCCUACCUCUGGGUAGAUGCUGUUUAACCUAAAGCCCUCUCUUAUAUUGCCUUUCAUUUAUUCCUUUGGUAAAACCACAUUUUAAACUACAAAAUGCAAACUUCUAUGGAACUGAACUCAAUGAAAUGAAUGAAACUUUUUGUAAUUUCUAAUUUUUAUAUAAUUUCAAACUUACAGAAGUGUUGCAAGAAUAGAAUGAGGAACUCUCUUAUACCCCUUACCCAGAUUCACCAGUUGUUUACAUUUCCUCCCAUUGAUUAUUCAUUCUCUCUCUCUGAAUCAUUUGAAAACAAAUUGGAGUCAUCAUGCUGCUUCAACCCCCCAAUACUUUAGUGUGUAUUUUCCUAGAACAAGAAUAUUCUCAUACAUAACCUCAUAACAAUUAUUAAAAUUAAGAAAUUUACUGUGGUAACACUACUAUUGUUUAAUCCAGAGUUUAUAUUCACAUUUCAUCAAUUUUCCCAAUAAUGUUCUUUAUAACUUUUUCCCCUCAGAUCCAGGAUCCAAUCCAGGAUCACGUGUUCCAUGUAAUUGUCAUGUCUCAUUAGUUUCCUUUCAUCUGAAACGGUUCCUCUGCCUUUCUGUCUGAUCUUCCUCAUGAUUAGCUCCAGAUAGUGCUUCGCUGCCAUUAGUGCCGUGUUUUCAUUGCAUCCUGCAAAAUGGUGCAUGACUUUCAUUGCCCCAUUGCUAUUGAUGUUACAUUUGAUCAUUUGAUUAAGGUGAUAUCUAUCAGACUUCUCCACUGUAAAUUAAUCCUAUUCCUUUUUGUAAUUAAUAGGUAUUUUGGGGGGGAGGUACUUUGAGGCUAUAUAAAUGCCCUGUUCCUCAUGAGACCCCACUGGGGCUCCCAAGUGUCAGUUCUCUCUCUCUCUCAUCCCUUUAUCUUACUUGGUCUGUUUUUCAUUUGGUGGAGCACAUCCUCAAUUAGCUUCCUGAGAAAGGAUGCAAGGGAAGUCAAAUUUUUUAGAUUUUUGACUUCUGUGUCUUCAUUCUACCCUUAUUCUUGAAUUGCUACUUUGACUAGUUAUAGAAUUCUAGAUUGGAAAUUUUUCUUCAGAAUUUUGAAUGCAUUGUUUUACUGCCUUCCAGUUUCUAAUGUUACUGUUGAGUAGUUGAUGUCGUUUGAAUUUCUAAAAACGUGAACUAUUUUUUCCUCUCUGAAAGUUUAAUAAAUUUUUUAAGUCUUUGGUGAGGGCUUUUCCUCCCAUUCAUCAUGCUGGGUACUCUCUGGCCUGUUCAGUCUGGAAGAUCAUGCUCUGUGGUGGUGACAGUUGUUUGGGUAUUCUUUCAUUCAUAAUUUCUUCUUCUCUGAAUUAUCUGUCUUCUAUAGAACUCCUGUUGUUGGAUGUUGACUUCUGAAUUGAUUUUAUGAUUUUCUUUUAUUCUUUCUCAUCUUAUUUAUCUCUUUGUCAUUUUUUUCUACUUCCUGGAUAUAUUUUCAACUCCAUCUUCUAACUGGGCUAUUGAAAUUUUCAUUUUAGCUAAUGCAUUAUUACUUUCCAAGACCUUACUCUUGCUCUCUGACUGUGCCCUUUUUCCUAUCAUCCUAUUCUUGUUUCAUGGAUACAUUAUAUUUCCUUUGAGAAUUAUGCUCAUAAUUUUUGAAGUUUUUUCCAGCCACCCACAUUUGCCUCUUUUUUUUCUGUUUGUUUUCUGCCUAUCAUGCUAGAGGUCAUCUCAUGUUAGAAUGCUAGAAAGAAGGUCUCUAACAUGAUGUUAGAGGAUGGUGUCUAAUGUGAUAAAACAGAAUAAAAAAAGAGAAGAAAUGAACAAAAGGGAAAGACCUGGUCUGUCCACAUGUCAGAGGAGGAAUCUGACUGGAAACUCUGUGGAAUUUGGUGGGACAUGUGGGUCUUCAGUGAGAGUUGAUUGAAAGGCUAUCUGUUUUUUCCAUUGGGAGCCCCAACUAUUAGUAUCUGUAAGUCUUUCUACUGGGGUCAUUUAGUUUCUCCAGGACAAAUCCUCCAAUUUCUCCACUGGGGGAAAGACAGUUCAUUUCCAGUGUUCUUGGAGCUAAGUGGCAGAACAUGGCUGUUCAGCAUAUGGAUGUUCACUUAAUUCUCUAUUUUCCACCCAGUAUCCUGCUGCCAUCUUCCAUUCUGCCUGGGUUCCCUGGGUUCAGGGCUUCUGUAAAUGGAAGAUUUUAAGACAAAAGCAUUUAGAAACCAAGCUUACUUGAAAAAGAUCUGCAAGAACUUCCAGGGGUUAGAAAGACUUGGAUCAUCAAAUGAAAGUACAACAGGUAUUUAAAGGAAAAAAAAAUCCAUAAUAUUACCAAGGCUACUGAGAUUACAGCUAGUCUGCACAUGGCAGGAAAACAGCAAAUUUAUCACAUGAUUAUCAUAUCCAGGAGGUCCUGACAGAUCUCCAGACAGCAGCAUUGCGAAAGUCUGGGAUAAAGUUGUUUUGGCUACAGAGUUAGGAACUUACGGGAAAGACUUGAUCCUGUUUUAGUUCUUUUGUCUCAGGUGUGAUGUGUUUUUUCUUUCUCUCUAUGGGAUGAGAUGUGCAUGAUUGCUGAUAAAUGAGAUGCCAUUUCACCUUUACAGUUCCAUCCACCAGUCAAGUUUCUGGCCCUAAGGUACAUAUUUAACCACAGGAGUUUGUUUUUAUGAUUUUAUAAAAUUCAAUAUUUAUUAAUUUGAUGUUUUGUUUUAUUUGACUAGUAGUUUUAUUUACAUAGGUGUAAAAGAGGUGUUAAUUACUAAUAAGAAGCAGCGGCAGCACUCCUUAUGUAUGGUUAACAAAAUUAGAGUCAUAUUGAUCCUAAGACCUAAGUUAACUUUUGUCUGGAUGCUCUGUCCAUCUCCUACUCAUACCUGUCUAGAGAACUUAUUAUUACCAGCUCAUCUACUAAGAACAGGAACCAAGGACCAACCUUUCAUCUCCACCUGGUUUUGCCUGCAGUGCCUACAUUCUUUCUCAAGUUUGUCGAUACUUCGUCUGAUCAUGAUUCUGGGAGUUGACUGGGGUCUGCUGGGUGGUUUUUCUGCUGCAAAUGCUGUUGCCUGGAGCUGCAAUCAUCUGUGGACUCGACCGGACUGGGACAUCCAAGAAGGUUCACCCCCAUAAGAUAAGAUCCCCGGGGCAGGACUGGUUGCACCUGAGCUUCCUCUGGGGGAGUACCCUGGAAUUUAGAAGGCCCCGGGGGCUCUAGUCCUGAAAGCCAGGCCCUGGAAAGGGACAAUUGGGAGGCAAAGCUGGAAGCCAGUUCCAAAGUGUUGCACGGCAGAGACAUCUAGAAGACUGGGCUCACUGGAAGGCUGGAUGGCCCAGCCGUUCUGUCUUUCUCCAUGGAGUCCCAGGGUCCUGUUCUCUCUCAUAUGGCUUCUUCAUGGACUCUCUUCAUCAGGGUGCCUGCACUUCUCAUGGGGCAGCUCAACCCCCUAGAAGUGUAAAAGCAGAAUCUGCGAGGGCUUCUGAAGUCUUAGGCCUAGAACUGGAACAGCAGCAUGCAUCACUUCUGUCACAUUCCCUUGGUUAAAACAGUCAUGGGCCAACCCAGAUUCAAGAGGAGGGGAGAUAAAUAACAGCCCUUAUUGUGAUGCGGAAUGACAAAAGACUUGGAAUCAUCUUUGUUCUACCACACUAAACAAAAUCUAUGUUAGUGGCCUUGGGCUGUCAUAACAAACACCACAAACUUGGUGGCUUGAAACAACCUAAAUUUAUUCUCUCACAGUUCUGGAGGCCAGAAGUCCCAAAUUAAGGUGUCAGCAGGGCUGCACUCCCUCCAAAGACUCUAGAGAAGGAUUCUCCUGGCCUCUUCCAGCUUCUGAUGGCUCCAGACAUUCCUUAGCUUGUGGCAGCAUCGCUCCAAUCUCUGCCUCUGUCUUCAUGUGGCCUUCUUCCCUGUGU